AAGGGACUUACCUAAUUCAACCUUACUCACAUCUCCUAUUUCUAAGAGCUGGGUUCCACAGCUGCUUUCCUGCUUGCUCAGGGAAGAUCUUCUAGAAAGAAGCCUGCAGUGUCUCCAGUGCUCAGCCAUGCUCAUGUUGCUCAUCUGGGUAUUGGGGAUGCUUUUUUCCCUGAGAGGCACCGGAGCCCAGUCAGUGACCCAGCUUGAUGCCCACGUCACUGUCUCUGAAAAAGCCCGUCUGGAGCUGAGGUGUAACUACUCCUAUGGGGCAACUCCUAAUCUCUUCUGGUACGUGCAGUACCCCAACCAAGGACUCCAGCUUCUGGUCAAGUACUUUUCAGGGCCACCAAAUGCCCUGAUUCAAGGCAUCCAAGGUUUUGAGGCUGAAUUUAGGAAGAAUGAAACCUCCUUCCACCUGAGGAAACACUCAGCCCAUUGGAGCGACGUGGCCAAGUACUUCUGUGCUGCGAGUGACACAGUGCCUGGGGCCCCAGGGGGAGCUGAGCACAAACCUCUUGAGGCACUAAGGAGGCUAAGUGCAUCUGAAAGGUUUUGGACUCUGACCUAGUGGGACACACAGGACAGAGGUGCUCAGGGACUGG